AACGAACGCUGGCGGCGUGCCUAACACAUGCAAGUCGAACGAGAAAGGGGACUUCGGUCCCUGAGUACAGUGGCGCACGGGUGAGUAACACGUGGGUAAUCUACCCGGAGAUUCGGGACAACAUCUCGAAAGGGGUGCUAAUACCGGAUAAGCCUACGACGUCUUCGGACGACGCAGGAAAAGGUGGGGAUUCUUCGGAACCUACCGUCCCCGGAUGAGCCCGCGGCCCAUUAGCUAGUUGGCGGGGUAAUGGCCCACCAAGGCGACGAUGGGUAGCUGGUCUGAGAGGAUGAUCAGCCACACUGGAACUGAGACACGGUCCAGACUCCUACGGGAGGCAGCAGUGGGGGAAUUUUGCGCAAUGGGGCGAAAGCCUGACGCAGCAACGCCGCGUGAGGGGAUGAAGGGCCUUCGGGGUCGU
rnacentral:rRNA from 1 species